rnacentral:lncRNA from 1 species
ACAAAAAUACAUUGUAUAUAAAAAAAGCAAUAUAUAUUAAAAAAAAAAUAAUAAGGAAGAAAUAAGCAAUUUUUUUCCAGAUGUUUUUGUUACAAAUUUAAUUUCUUUUUUUUUUUACUAAAAAUUAUUACAAUACAAUUGUUAUCACCAUCGUUUAUGUUAAAAAAUAUGAUAAAAAAUAGUUAUAUUUAGGGAUGGUAAUUUUUUUAUUUUUUAUUUUUUUGCCAAAUAACCACAAGAACUAUAUACUUGCACUUCAGUUCAGCUUUAAUAUAAUUCCUAUUUUAAUGUCCUUUGUCUGACAUCCUGUGACUUCUUCAGUGACUCUCCAUCACAUAUUCUGUGACUCUUCAGUGACUCUCCAUCAUAUAUUCUGUGACUUCUUCAGUGACUCUCCAUUCCACAUGUCUCCUGUUCUGUUUAGUUCAUUAGAAUGGACUCCAAAAAUUCUCAACGGAGGGGCACAUAGUCCCCCACA